GCUGUCGGCGUUCAUUACUCAUAAACCAGUAGUGGGGAGGAUCGAUAUAUUUGAAAGACCGAACGGCUACGACAUUAAAUCGAACGCAGACGUAAACACAUACGGAGCUUCAACACAAUCAUUAGCAAGUAAAGACAAGAUGCCGGGACCAAACUGCGAUAAGUGCAAAGAUAAAUGCCAGGACUGCAAAUGCGGCAGCAGUUGCAAAUGCUGUGACUCGAGUUCCUCAGAAAAAUGUGAUUGUUGUUGUAAGACAACCGGCAAAUGCAAUUGUACCAAUUGUAAAUGUUGAUACAAUCAGAUAAAGGCGUAGAAGCUGCAGGCGAAAUCGAAGGAUGGUGAUAGGUCGUAAAGAUGAAAAAAUGGCUAUAACGAUGAUCUUUAGUACUAAUUUUUCAACUGCAGCUUAUAUGUAUACUUAGAUAUCGCAAUAGUAAUUCAGUUAUAACGAUAACAUUAUAUAUUUCGAUAUCGACUGAUGUAUUAUUAUACUGUAUUUUAUAUUAUUCUUUGAGCAUUUAAAUAAAUAUAUCUAAAAUGUUGCUCUACC